rnacentral:rRNA from 1 species
UUUUAUGGAGAGUUUGAUCCUGGCUCAGGAUGAACGCUGGCGGCGUGCCUAAUACAUGCAAGUCGAGCGAACAGAUAAGGAGCUUGCUCCUUUGACGUUAGCGGCGGACGGGUGAGUAACACGUGGGUAACCUACCUAUAAGACUGGGAUAACUUCGGGAAACCGGAGCUAAUACCGGAUAAUAUUUCGAACCGCAUGGUUCGAUAGUGAAAGAUGGUUUUGCUAUCACUUAUAGAUGGACCCGCGCCGUAUUAGCUAGUUGGUAAGGUAACGGCUUACCAAGGCGACGAUACGUAGCCGACCUGAGAGGGUGAUCGGCCACACUGGAACUGAGACACGGUCCAGACUCCUACGGGAGGCAGCAGUAGGGAAUCUUCCGCAAUGGGCGAAAGCCUGACGGAGCAACGCCGCGUGAGUGAUGAAGGUCUUCGGAUCGUAAAACUCUGUUAUUAGGGAAGAACAUACGUGUAAGUAACUGUGCACGUCUUGACGGUACCUAAUCAGAAA